rnacentral:rRNA from 1 species
UCCCAGACUCCUACGGGAGGCAGCAGUGGGGAAUAUUGCACAAUGGGGGAAACCCUGAUGCAGCGACGCCGCGUGAGCGAUGAAGUAUUUCGGUAUGUAAAGCUCUAUCAGCAGGGAAGAAGAUGACGGUACCUGACUAAGAAGCCCCGGCUAACUACGUGCCAGCAGCCGCGGUAAUACGUAGGGGGCAAGCGUUAUCCGGAUUUACUGGGUGUAAAGGGAGCGUAGACGGCGAUGCAAGCCAGAUGUGAAAGCCCGGGGCUCAACCCCGGGACUGCAUUUGGAACUGUGUGGCUGGAGUACGGGAGGGGCAGGCGGAAUUCCUGGUGUAGCGGUGAAAUGCGUAGAUAUCAGGAGGAACACCGGCGGCGAAGGCGGCCUGCUGGACAGUAACUGACGUUGAGGCUCGAAAGCGUGGGGAGCAAACAGGAUUAGAUACCCUGGUA